UAGUGUUAGGGGGUUUCCGCCCCUUAGUGCUGCAGCUAACGCAUUAAGCACUCCGCCUGGGGAGUACGACCGCAAGGUUGAAACUCGCAGGAAUUGACGGGGACCCGCACAAGCGGUGGAGCAUGUGGUUUAAUUCGAAGCAACGCGAAGAACCUUACCAGAUCUUGACAUCCUUUGACAACUCUAGAGAUAGAGCCUUCCCCUUCGGGGGACAAAGUGACAGGUGGUGCAUGGUUGUC
rnacentral:rRNA from 1 species